GGAGCCAUGGCUCAGUGUCAGAGCAUCUGUUUGAUAUGCAGAAGGCCCCAGGUUCUACUCCCAGCAUCUCCA
rnacentral:tRNA from 1 species